rnacentral:rRNA from 1 species
UACGUAGGGGGCGAGCGUUGUCCGGAUUUAUUGGGCGUAAAGAGCGCGUAGGCGGCCGGUCACGUCGGGUGUGAAAGCUCAGGGCUCAACCCUGAGACGCCAUUCGAUACGGAUCGGCUAGAGGCAGGUAGGGGAAAGUGGAAUUCCUGGUGUAGCGGUGAAAUGCGCAGAUAUCAGGAGGAACACCGGUGGCGAAGGCGGCUUUCUGGGCCUGUCCUGACGCUGAGGCGCGAAAGCUGGGGGAGCGAACAGG